UGAAUCAGACCAUUGCGCUGUGAAUAUUCCUGAUCUUGUCUGAACCCAGAAGUACAACACAAGGUUGGUGCUGAUUACCGUGUACAUGGAAGACUUCUUGGGAGUAUUACCUGAUGUAA
rnacentral:rRNA from 1 species